rnacentral:rRNA from 1 species
UACGUAGGGGGCAAGCGUUGUCCGGAUUUAUUGGGCGUAAAGAGCGUGUAGGCGGUCAGGUAGGUCGGUUGUGAAAACUGGAGGCUUAACCUCCAGACGUCGAUGGAAACCGUCUGGCUAGAGUCCGGAAGAGGAGAGUGGAAUUCCUGGUGUAGCGGUGAAAUGCGCAGAUAUCAGGAAGAACACCCGUGGCUAAGGCGGCUCUCUAGUACGGUACUGACGCUGAGACGCGAAAGCGUGGGGAGCGAACAGG